GACACGCUUCUCCGCAUUGCCGGCAGCCAGCCGCGAGCUGAUGUGGCAGUGAAGCCCUACAAGUGUGGGGAGUGUGGUAGAAGCUUCGGGCGCAGCUCGUACCUGGUGCAGCACCAGCGCAUUCACACGGGUGACAGACCCUACAAGUGUGGGGACUGUGGAAAGGGGUUCGGGUCAGUGCCCACCUCACCCGGCACCAGCUCAGCCAUGCAGGUGACCAGCCCUACCGAUGUCCCCAGUGCGGAAAGACCUUUGGGGAGAGCGCAAGCUGUUGAGCCACCGGCUGAGCCAUGCGGGUGAGCGCCCCUACCAGUGCCCUGACUGCGAGAAGAGCUUCUGCAAAAGCUCCCACCUGGUCAGCCACCAUCGCACCCACACUGGAGAGCGGCCCUACCGCUGCACCAUCUGUGACAAGAGCUUCUGCCAGAGCUCCCACCUCAUCCGGCACCAGGGCACCCACCGGGUGAGCGCCCUACAAGUGCUCCGACUGUGGGAAGAGUUCACCCAGAGCUCCAACCUUGCCCAAGCACCAGCGCAUCCACACGGGCGAGCGCCCUACCAAUGCAGUGACUGUGGGAAGAGCUUCAGCUGGAGCUCCAACCUCAUAGAGCACCAGAGAACCCACCUAGCACAGAAACCCUGAACAUGGGCCGGGCCAACGUGUCUGGUUCCUGAGCAAGCUCCCAACACUGCAGUAAACAGCAUGGGGCCAGCAAGACACUUAAUAGGGGGAGAAAUUACUGAGUGUGCAAUGCCAAAGACUAGAAACCCUCCCCAGGAGUUAGACUUCUUCACACUGCCAGCGGCGGCUGCCUGCCCCAGCCUCGCCUGUUGCAAUAUCCAGGAGAUGAUCCCACUUGCCACAAGAGCUAAGGAACCUGUAAUAAGGCAAGUCUAAGGGAUCGGAAGAGCGUUGUGUAG